GUCGACAGCUAGCUCUCUGCUACUCUCACAUGGUCACCAAAUAAAGCUAAGCAAGGCUGCGCCCGGUCAGUACCUGGAUGGGAGACUACAUGGGAAAGCUAGGUUUCUGCCGGAA
ensembl:rRNA 5S_rRNA 5S ribosomal RNA